UGUAGCCAUGCCUUCCUCUUCCUCUUCCUCUUCCUCAUCCAUCUGCUCGGCAUUCUGCCCUCCUCAUCCCCCCAGGCUGUUUCUCUGUAGAUCUAGAAACUGAAAGUUAUUUUCUCCUUCAUUUCCUCGGUCUUCCUAACAUCCAGACUCAGUUAGAUGAGAUCAGCUGGUGUUAAGCAGAUGAACGUGUCACUUCCUGUUUG
rnacentral:miRNA from 1 species